GACGAACGCUGGCGGCGUGCCUAAUACAUGCAAGUUGAGCGCUGAAGGUUGGUACUUGUACCAACUGGAUGAGCAGCGAACGGGUGAGUAACGCGUGGGGAAUCUGCCUUUGAGCGGGGGACAACAUUUGGAAACGAAUGCUAAUACCGCAUAAAAACUUUAAACACAAGUUUUAAGUUUGAAAGAUGCAAUUGCAUCACUCAAAGAUGAUCCCGCGUUGUAUUAGCUAGUUGGUGAGGUAAAGGCUCACCAAGGCGAUGAUACAUAGCCGACCUGAGAGGGUGAUCGGCCACAUUGGGACUGAGACACGGCCCAAACUCCUACGGGAGGCAGCAGUAGGGAAUCUUCGGCAAUGGACGAAAGUCUGACCGAGCAACGCCGCGUGAGUGAAGAAGGUUUUCGGAUCGUAAAACUCUGUUGGUAGAGAAGAACGUUGGUGAGAGUGGAAAGCUCAUCAAGUGACGGUAACUACCCAGAAAAGGACGGCGAACUACGU
rnacentral:rRNA from 1 species